rnacentral:lncRNA from 1 species
CUGCUAUACAACUGAGCCUACCUUUCUUGAAACCAUGAGCUUUGAUAACAACUACCAUGGUGGCCAGGGCUAUGCCAAAGGAGGCCUGGGCUGCAGCUAUGGCUGUGGUCUUAGCGGCUAUGGCUAUGCCUGCUACUGCCCAUGGUGUUAUGAAAGAUCUUGGUUUUCUGGCUGCUUCUGAGAAAUUAGAGAUUGCUGAUCUGUUUAGGCCAUUCUCUUAUGAGCUAUGUUUUCUUCCCGUGUUUUUUUCUGUUCAAAGAGUGACAACUAAAAUUUAGCCCACAUUGCCAAGUCAG